UGCUAUUUUGGGUUUUCCUUUAAGGUGUG
rnacentral:piRNA from 1 species